rnacentral:rRNA from 1 species
UACGAAGGGUGCAAGCGUUAAUCGGAAUUACUGGGCGUAAAGGGUGCGUAGGCGGUUCGUUAAGUCUGUCGUGAAAUCCCCGGGCUCAACCUGGGAAUGGCGAUGGAUACUGGCGAGCUAGAGUGUGUCAGAGGAUGGUGGAAUUCCCGGUGUAGCGGUGAAAUGCGUAGAGAUCGGGAUGAACAUCAGUGGCGAAGGCGGCCAUCUGGGACAACACUGACGCUGAAGCACGAAAGCGUGGGGAGCAAACAGG